rnacentral:rRNA from 1 species
GUUCCAGCAGCCGCGGUAAGACGUAGGAGGCAAGCGUUAUCCGGAGUUACUGGGCGUAAAGCGCGUGUAGGCGGGUGGAUAAGUGGUUCGUGAAAUAUCCAGGCUAAACCUGGGGAGGACGAAUCAGACUGUUCAUCUGGAGGCGGGUAGAGGGGUGCGGAAUUCCGGGUGUAGCGGUGAAAUGUGUAGAUAUCCGGAGGAACACCAGAGGUGCAGACGGCGCCCUGGGCCCGACCUGACGCUGAGACGCGAAAGCUUGGGGAGCGAACGGGAUUAGAAACCCCAGUAGUCC